rnacentral:rRNA from 1 species
GUGAAAUUGUUGAAAGGGAAACGAUUGAAGUCAGUCGUGCCAGCGAGAAAUCAGCUUACAGGAUACUGUGGGUGCACUUUUUCGCAAGGCAGGUUAACAUCGAUAUUUGUUGGGUCAUAAUGAGUGUAGGAAGGUGGCUCCUUCGGGAGUGUUAUAGCCUACUUUAGAUGGCGUGAUAGAGAUCGAGGAUUGCAGCGAAUGCCUUUAGGCUACCGGUCUGUUCUCUGUCUAUUGUCAAUCGGACUUCAGCAAGCUUAGGCACGGUUGAACAAUUUACAAUAGAACGGAAUCUGAUAAAUUCGCUAAGGAUGUUGACGUAAUGGCUUUAAACGAC